AGAGCGCGCGCUUGAUAAGCGUGAGGUCGGAAGUUCAAGUCUUCCCAGGCCCACCACUUUCAGUGAGCAUUCGUCUUCUGGUUACGGGGCCAUAGCUCAGCUGGGAGAGCGCGUGCUUUGCAAGCAUGAGGUCGUCGGUUCGAUCCCGUCUGGCUCCACCAGAUGGUUUGAUCACCGAGAUCUUGUACCGUCGUCCGCGAAACAUCACUUCGCAUCCUGCUAGUCUGGAUAGACAGCAAGAUGCGUGUUUUCUGACAUCGUAAAGAGGAGAUCGAUCCGAGUUGGGUCGUGCAGCAGAUUGUUGCGCGGAUCCUUCAUUAUCUCCGGAUCAUUUUCGGCGCUCGCUCUCAGCCGUGAGGUUGAAUGCGAGUUGUAAAAUGAUCCUUUUAGCGAAGCUUGACCGCCUCGCUAUCGGAACGAUCUUACGAAGCAAGCUGGUCUUUCUAGUCAAUGUCCGGCUGCACGUAGCAUUCAUCGAGGGUGCGCGCCUUAGAGACUUCGGUUUCUUGGCAAUCGUGCAGACAACAUUCUGCCGAGUGUGUGGACGUUGAUAAUGAGAGCAAUCAAGUGCCUUAAGGGUGUUCGGUGGAUGCCUUGGCGCUGAGAGGCGAUGAAGGACGUGCUACGCUGCGAUAAGCCGUGGGGAGCUGCGAAGAAGCUUUGAUCCGCGGAUUUCC
rnacentral:misc_RNA from 1 species